UACGAAGGGGGCUAGCGUUGUUCGGAAUUACUGGGCGUAAAGCGCGUGUAGGCGGGUCUUUAAGUCAGGGGUGAAAUGCCAAGGCUCAACCUUGGAACUGCCUUUGAUACUGGAGACCUUGAGUCCGGGAGAGGUGAGUGGAAUUGCGAGUGUAGAGGUGAAAUUCGUAGAUAUUCGCAAGAACACCAGUGGCGAAGGCGGCUCACUGGCCCGGUACUGACGCUGAGGUGCGAAAGCGUGGGAGCAACAGGG
rnacentral:rRNA from 1 species